GUGACGUUGGUAUAAUGGUAUUACAUUUGCUUGCCAAGCAAAUAACGCGGGUUCGAUUCCCGUACGUCGCUC
rnacentral:tRNA from 1 species